rnacentral:tRNA from 1 species
GCCUGGGUAGCUCAGUUGGUUAAGUGUCUGACUUCAGCUCAGGUCAUGUCUCACAGUUUGUGAGUUCAAGUCCCAUAUCAGGCU